UGUUGGCCAUCCUAAAGGGAGGUACCCUAAAGGGAGAAAGCCUUUUGGGGAGAUGUUUUGGUAUCUUCUUGUGGCGCGGCAGACUAGUUUUCAGCUCCAGCUUAUCACUGAAGCAAAGGUGGGUUUUCACCUCUGACUUAUUUUUUCUGUGAUGAAAAAUUUGCGCCCUGUGCACAAGGGCCUGGCAAUAAGCAACCCAUCAAGGAGGGAAGAAAGAAAAACUCAAGAAACACCCAACAGCUUUGUUAUCUUACUUUGCAACCUGAAAAAAACACUGGAAGCAGAGUAACCUAUGUAUCACUUUACAGAGUCACUUUGAAGACACAUGCAGUGUAGUUCUUCUUUCCGUGAAGGGAAAAAAAAUCAAAAAGGUUUGCUGAAACAAGGUUUGACAAGCCUACUUCUGACAUCUAAAUGAAGAUUCUUAAUCACAGAGAUGUUUUUAAAGAGCUUCUGCUGUAACAAGUGACUCCCUUAGCAGCUGUAUAACAUAUGAAAUGUUUCACCAAGAUUUCUUUGUUCAGAAAAUGCUUAUUAAUGAGAAAUAAACUCUUUUUCUCUUUUGCUUCUUUU